GCCGAGGUAGCUCAGUUGGUAGAGCGCGUGGCUGUUAACCACGUAGUCAUAGGUUCGAGUCCUAUCCUCGGCG
rnacentral:tRNA from 1 species